rnacentral:rRNA from 1 species
GGGGAAUAUUGCACAAUGGAGGAAACUCUGAUGCAGCGACGCCGCGUGAACGAAGAAGGUCUUCGGAUCGUAAAGUUCUGUCCUAGGGGACGAUAAUGACGGUACCCUAGGAGGAAGCCCCGGCUAACUACGUGCCAGCAGCCGCGGUAAUACGUAGGGGGCGAGCGUUGUCCGGAAUUAUUGGGCGUAAAGGGUUCGUAGGCGGUUAUUUAAGUCAGGUGUGAAAGGCAUGGGCUUAACCUGUGUAAGCACUUGAAACUGGAUAACUUGAGUUAAGGAGAGGAAAGUGGAAUUCCUAGUGUAGCGGUGAAAUGCGUAGAUAUUAGGAGGAAUACCAGUGGCGAAGGCGACUUUCUGGACUUAGACUGACGCUGAAGAACGAAAGCGUGGGGAGCAAAC